CUCUUGUGAUUCUUCUGUGAGCUGCAUAAUCUAUGAACGUGUUGGCACACAAAAGUGUGUGCUAAUUAAUAGAUUCAUUAUCACAAUGUGAUACACAUCACCAAAUUUUUACAUUGUCUUUGAUCCAACAGUCACUGGCAGCGUUACAAUGCACGGAUGGUAAAGAUGGGGUGCAGCCCAAAGCCCGACAGAGCCUGCCAGGCAUCGUAUCAGCCACCAUGAACACAAAGGUGCGUGAAGUCACCCUGUGGGGAAGAAACCGUUUCCCAAGAGAACUGCAAGACAAGCUGCUGGAUUUUUUUUUGUCUUCAAAAGCCACCAAACUAAGCUAGCAAAACAGAUGAGAGGAAAAGACAGAGUUUAAAUUUGCAGGGAGAUCCCUUGCAUC
rnacentral:lncRNA from 1 species